GAGGGGCUUGUGGUGAGGAAGCAGUGACAGGACUCAAUGGGAAAGUGUGCCAGAGAAAGCCCCUCACAAAGCCAAGGACGUUGCCAAUAGGAUUAUUAUGACAGCCUCAGCAGGCACUGAGCCAUCUGAACAGCAGAAACCCUGACAGAGCCACCUCUGUGCUGCGGUUUGGGAGCCAGGGCAUCUGCAGGCAUCCUAACGGGAUGAAUUACAGCGCCUCACAAGAUGGGAGGACUCUGCCGUCACGCAGUGAGAGGUGCAAGAGAUUACAGAAACCCAUCGAUACACUGCCACCGAUAACUUCACCCAGCUGACACCAGGACUGACAGUGACCACACUGGCCCAUUAAACAGCAUCACACAGGACAGAAACAGCAUUUACCAGCUGCCCCUGGAUGCAGGCUGGUGUGCCAUAGAGCGCUUAGUUAUACUGAAUUACAGUGACUUUUAAAAUACAAACCAGAAACGACACUGUGCAGCCCUCUUCUGCUCGAGGUGGGAGGUGUGACCAGCCCCCUCGCACUACCUGCUGCUUCUGCUGGAGGAGAAAACGCACCACCACCACCACCAAAAAAUCCAGGUGAAGUGUUUUUCCUUCAUGAAUCCAAGCAGCUCUAACCUUCCUGGCAAUUCACCUAUAUUAGGUGGGGUUUGUCCCCAUUAAAAUGGCACAGUAUGAAAGAUGGAAAACAGCAACAGGCAAAAAUAGUUCAUUUUAUCCCAAAAUAAGAAUUAUAAAGGUGUAUCAACAGACCUAGUAGGAUGGCAACCUUAAGAAUGAGCAACAUGAAAGUACCAAUGAAACAGGCAUUUGUGAAUAGAGGCAUCCCUGUUAUUCAGGCACUGGCUCGUUCAAUUUCUAUAAACAUCCAAUGCAGUUAAAAAAAAAACAAACCAAAAAACCCAACCAACUGGAAAAGGCAAACACUGUUACUCCUUGAAUAGAAAAGGAAAUGAGGCACAGAUAAAGACUGGAAAUGAUUUCCAAGCCUUACUAUAAACCCCACAAGAACAGUGGCCAAGUAUCGGACAGAAGUAGGCUGUUCUGUAUCUUAACAAAACGGUAUUGUAAUUGACCGUUUCCUUUUCAUGAGAAAAUUGCAAAGAGUUUGGAAACAGUGACAGGCAUGUGGAGGCUUUUUGAAGUCAAGACUAACCUGACCGUUCACAGAAGAGAAAUGCUUUCCCCUGUCAAGGGAAGGUUAGCAAUCCUCUUGUAGUUUGUGGGUCUUAACAGACUUAAAGGACAGAAUUUUAACAAUUCCUAGGGUACCUCACCUAGGAAUGAGGGCAGCAACAAAGCUAAAGACAACUAAGAGAAGCUGCAAAAGGGACCUGUGACCUUCCCUGCUGGCACUGGUGCGCACAAAGAGGAAGGCUGGGCCACAGGCGGUACGACAGGUAGUAGGCACAGGAUUACAGGGAACAUCACUGCACCACCACAGAUCAACCUUAGCAACGUCAUAAUGACAGCACCUGCAAUUCUCAUCUUUUUAAAAUGCAUAUGGGCAUUGCUCAGAUCUCCUAAUUAGUAAGCUUUAGUAGCGUGAUGAUGUUUUGUUAUAAAUUCAACUGCCAGAAUUCAUUCACUUACUGCACUUAGUACUUCUAUCGGGUCUUCUGGGCCUUGGUCCUAGCAAUUUAAAUGCCAAAUUUUCUACCUGCUUGAUGAAAUUAAGCCCUCAAGAAAAGGAGAUGCACUUGUCCUCUUCUGGGUAGGAAUUUAAAAUUUAUUAAUUUUUAAUUUUCAGUAAAACAGGUAAGGCAUGCAGUAUACAUUAGGAUUAUCUUUAAAAGAAAACCAAACCAAACCCAAGAUAUUUGUUCCAGUAUUUUAUUACAUAAAAAGUUGAUU